rnacentral:lncRNA from 1 species
AAAUACUUAAAAGUAUUAACUUUAGAAAUAUCAUAUCAAAAUUUUGUGUCAACAUAGCACAAAUAUAUAAGUAUUUUAAACCCCAAAAUUCCCCAUUUUAAGUCAUUCCCUCAAAUCCCAAAAUUAAACACCCAAAACUCCUCUAAAAAUUUUCUCUAGAAGUAAAAAAAAGGAGAAAGAAGAGGAGGCUAGGUCAAGCACAAGUCUCCAAUUUUCAACCUUUUAUGGGCAUUACGACUAAGCUAAGGUAUGAUUGUUUUUCGUCCAUGGGAUCCUUCUUCCCAUGGUAUCCCUUGAAAUGCACAAUUUGAUGAUGAAUUUCCCCCAUUCUAGUUAGGAUUUUUUCUAAUGUUGUGGGUUAUGUUGAAUGUUGAUCCAAUUGAGUGGAUUAUGAUUAUUUAUGAUUGAAUUGACACGAUCACAUGUUUUUAUUAUGAAAUUACAUGUAGUCAUGCCUGUUCCAUGAUUUUACCUAGAAUUUAUAUAAUUAGAUUGAUGCCUUGAAAGAAGACUUUAUGGAUUUUGAUUUCUCCUUGUAAGAUUGUUGAAUCAUGACUAGAAUUGUUUAAGUUUGAAGUUUAGAUGAUGAUCAUGAGAAUUAGAGAUUUGAGAGUAAAGUGUACUUUAUGAUUGUUGGUAAUUAUUGUUGUAAUGUGCAAGAGAUACUUCCCUUAAUGAAUUGCAAAGCAUGAUUGAACCAAUAUGAAAGGUUUAUCACAUAAAUGAUUCCAGGUUGAAAGGAUUGCUCACUAAAAUGAAUAUAGAUUAAAGUUCUAAAAGAAUGAUAAGGCUAGAGACAACUACCAUUGACCUCUAUAUUGAAGGAUAUGUGGUGAUUCUAAUACUCCUUAGAAUUGAAAAUUGUAUGUUCCCAAAAUGAUGAAGUCAUAUGGAGGCGAGUGCCUAUGCUCCUUAUGAAAUGAUGUGGAGGCGAGUAUCUGUGUCAUAUGUGACUGUGGAGGUGAGUACCCAUGAUAUUAAGGUAAAUAAGGCAAGAGGAUAAUACCCAUUAGCCUUUAUAAGUUAAAAAAUAAGGCUAAUCCCCAUGUCUUUAAAAGUAAGUAUGAACUAUAUGAUUAUGCUAUGUUAUGAAGAUGCUUGAUGUCACAUCCGAGUAGCACCCCCUAGAAGUGACCAAUGUCGUCGUCCUCGAAGAGGACUAAGACUAACCUCUUAGCAUUUGUCAUUACAUUUUAUAGGUUAAAUUGCAGAAAAUUUAAAACUUUUCAUCUAUUUCUACAUUAAGGUUUACAUAGAUCUGCCGCUUACACAUAAUAUAUAAAUAGGGAGUUUAUAUAGACUCCUCUAAUAGAAAGCACUACAUAAAUUUCUACUUUUAUUUCACAUACAUAAUAUAGCAAUAUAAUUUCAUAAGAACUCUAGGAUAAGUCUCACAUAUAACCAUCUAAGUAGAGCAUAACAUUCGGGCAUAACCCUUAAUUCUUUACAAUAAAAGCAACAUAUAGGCAUAUACAACAAUUACCUUCAAAUGAAAAGGAAAAGAACUAAAUUGUCUUUAAGAUUAAACAACAUCAAUAGCUAGAUAGUGGCAUCAUCCUCGGAAGGUGAGGACCUACAAAACUUGGAGAAUGAGAGUCGAAGUUAUUUUUCAAAUGGCCCUUCUAGAAUAUCAACGGCCGGAACCUAUAUAAUUAUAGAAAUAUAGAAAUAUGGUUAGUACAACACUUGUAUUAAGUACGGAAACAUACACAUAAUACAUUUGAAAUAAUGCAUGAGAAAGGGACAUUUACGUUUUAGAAACCAUGCUAAGUCAUUUGGAAACCUUUAGUGCACAUAAAAGAGAGCAUGUACCACAUAAGAAAUCUCAAUAGCAUAAGUCAUGUUCAUAAUCAAUACAACUUAACAUAAGAACCAUGUAUAACACAAGACCAACAUCAUUCAUACAUAACUAAGUCAAUAUGUAUACUAGAAUACUUGAGUACAUAGUCAAACCAACUCUAACAUCAUGCUAGAACAACAAAACACAUAUAAGAGUUUACAUCAUUACAACAUAUACAAGACCCUUACUCAUAACUCAUCAUCAAGCUUACAACUGCAAUGACCAAGUAAAGACCAUAACCUUAAUCAACCAAGUAAAACCAACAAAGGACCAUAAGCAAUGUCUAAACUCACAUAACAUAGCAUUAAGAGUAAUCAUCAUCAUGCAUUGGAACAUAGACCAAUAGCAUGCUAAAAAAUAAAACUAGUAUCAUACAGGAUCAUUCAACAUGUAAAGUCAACAUAUGCAUACCAUUUACUUAUAAAACAUAAGAACAACCUUUCAAGACUUCCCUCAAGGCCAACUAGUGCAAUGCAUAGGUAGAGUCUCAUACCCCUACCUAGACUAAGUCAAAACCCUUAAGUCACCCUAUUUAUUGUUCACAUUAUUACUUCAUUUUACUUUCAGGAACACUUGCCUUAACCGAUAUAGACCAGAAGAGCUAAAUACAGAAUCAGGUGUCAUAAAACCUACACCGAGAGAAGGUGGAAUACUUGUCAAGGUAGUACCAAAACAUAAAAAUAGCAUUCUAGGUGGAUCCACUAGCUAGUAUUCCUAUGGGGACAACAUAGUUCAAGAACUAGGAGAUAUACUUGGACACUCUUUAUGCACAAUUCAUUAUAGUCUCCAAUCUCAUGAGUAAAAUAGUGAACCUACCUUGCCUAAUUGGGAAGGGACACUCCUCACCUAGUUCACCCGAUGCUUAGCUAAUGUCCCUUUUUGAAAUGUCUUUAAACCUAUAUUAAUCUUCAUAACUUAGUUUAGGCGAUAGGAGACUAAUCCCUUGUAUAUUAAGAGUCAUUAGCUUAGGAAUUGCUUGAGAAUAUCAUUUCAAUACAACCCUCAUAUGUGAGAUCAACACAUUAUCAUCAUCAUCAUGUAUAAUAAGGCACAUAGGCAAUUCAUAACCAACCUUAUAUCAUUACAUCUUAAACGUAAUCUCACACUUUCACAUAAUCAAUACAUUUCAAUCGCAUCAUCAUAUCAACACCCACUUAGUAGAAUCAGAAUACAUGCUUUAAUUGAACUUCAUCACCAAGUAUAAGCCAUCACAAUUGAAGCAAAGGUUUAAGAUCACAAGGUCUUUCCAAUUCUCCUUAAAAAGCCAUCAUUAUUGGUCUUACUCUCAAUCAAAACAAUUUCAUCAUCAAUAUCUGUAACAACAUCAUUCAAUAGUAAUAACACAAUAACUAGUUCACUUGCAUCAAUACUACUGAAUUUAACAUGACUAGAUAACCUAGGGUUAAGGAAUUUGGGUCAAUUCAUGAUCUAUUCCACAUACUAGAUUAAAUCAUCAAGAACUACUAUAAUUGAACAAUAAUAGAUCAUAAUCUAAUUACAAUAACCAAAAGAAACCACAAAUAAUACAAUUUAGAAGAUCAAAUUCGGAUUAGAAAUAAACCCAUAUGAAAUCAUUUUUUUGAAAACCAAUUUUUGAAGAACCCUUUGGAGAAAGAAAUCCCAAAGGUGAAAUUUCCCAUACCUUGAUAUUAUUUGAAUAUUGAUGGUGAAAAGUGAUCUUAUUGCUUCACUAGAACUUUAAGACCUUGGUCUUCUAUGGAGUCUUCUUUGAGAGAGAAACGAGAGAAUAGGAAGAGCAAUUUGGGUUUGGGAAUUGUGGGGUGCUUAGUUGAGUUUAGGCUUAAGGUAGGUUAUGUAGUUGCUAAAUUAAUCUAAUUAACCAAACCUUCACCCUAAUUAAACCCCUAACUAGCUAAAUUAAUUAAAUGAACAUUUAAAAAACUUAACAAAAAGUGCAGGCCUGACCUACGAGACCCCGACCAACGGGUCGUAGGUUAGUCGACGGCCUCACCCCUCAACCAUCCUGCACAACUGUCAUUUUUACUCAGAGAGUUGUAUUUUUGGAUAAUUCCUGAAAUUGUCUAAGUGCUAUUCCACAGAGGAAUCGAUGCCUCGUCGCGUGCGACCCGUAGGUAGACACUGUUUCAAGGCAAUUUCUUGACCAAUCUAGAAGGGUCCUCCGCAAGGACCCUUUGGGUUGUCGUUAGGGAUUUAUAGCAAGAUGUUUUGACCCUAAACAAAUUUUAAUACGUGAUUAACAUCUUUUCCAUCAAAUUUCAUUAAAUUUUGACUCCUAAAACCUUAUGAAAUAGGCUAAGGCACAUUAGCACCUCUUCCACUAAUCUCCGAAUGUCAUGAAUGUUUCUUGACGUCUUGACUCUAAAACUUCCUAAAUGACUUAUAAACAUUAUUUUUGACCUUAAAACAGUGCUAAAAACUUUAUACACUCAUGUGAGGCUCUAGAUUUAGGUCUUGGACUUUUGAAGUGUCACACCUGACUUUGAGUGUUGCUAGAUAUGCUUUUAUGUUUUAAGCUUGACUAGGUGUGGAUGACCAAAGUCUUGAAUAAGGUUAAGUGAGGUUACUUAAGUAAGUAUUUAUCUCUCAUUAUUAUGCUUAUUAUGUCUUCAUUAUGCUUACGCCUUAUGUCAUUUAAGGAAUAAUGAUUAUGUUUAUGUUGUUUAUGCUAGCCGUCAUAUUUAGUACAUGAUUGCACCAACGCAUACUCUUAUUAUAUUCUUAUCAAAUGUAGGGUUCGACAACAAGAUUCUCACACUCGUGUCUAGCUUCCUUGUUGAGCAAUAAAGUGAAGAUUUGGUUAGUCUUCAUUGUGUUUGAGGAUGUGAUCACCCUUUUAUUUUAUGCCUUUCUUUUAUGUCUUGGACUAUUGUAUGGGCUACGUCCCAAGACUUUAUCCAUGACUAUGCUAUUAGAGUUGUGAUUUAUUGUAAAGGACUUUGAUUAUGUUGAAAUAUUUUUAAUACUUGCA